GUGACUAGAGCAAUAAGCAAGACAAUUUUGGGGGAGAAUGUCUUAAGGCGGACAACAUAAAGAAGCAAGAGAAACUAAAAAUGAGAGCCCCUUGUUCAAUAAGCAUGUGUGAUAAUCAGCCUGGCACAGUAUAACUUCUUUUCUAGUUCAGUAACUUCCAACAACUCAAUUAUCUUCUGUAAGUGAGGAAUGGAAGGUGCUCCCUUGAGGUCAAAAAGUUGCAGGUAGAGAGAAAGGACAAACAGAAAUGGAUGGAAAUGGAAGUGCCCCGCGAUUGAACUGAUCAGCUUCAGUAGAUAAAUGUUUUGAAAAAGCCCUGGAAAGGGUGGGUCAUGUGAGGAAAGGGGAGGAAGAUUUGGCUUGGGUUUUGUUAGCAUCAUGGGGGAGAUCAGGUGAGAAAUAAGAAAGUAACAGCAGGAAGAUCAUGAGGUUGAAAUGAAUGCAUACCAUUUUUUUUCCUACAAGAAGGAUUGGACAGAGGUCCUCUAUAAAUGCCAGAAAUUGUAGAGCUGCACUAAGGGAAUGGGUGCGUAAAAUAUUAUAGAGAGCGGGCAGCAUAAAGGACUGAGGAUAAUAUGAAUAGCUGUGAUGGAUCUAGUUGUAAAAUAGUCAGGUAGUGGUAGGAACAUUUAUUCUUUGAGCUGUACAAGAGGAGGAGCAGAACUCAGAUCUUGGCAGGAAGCCCAGGUUACAGAGAGUGAAGGACUAAUGAAAGGUCUGAGUCGAGAUGGAAGAUGGAAGAGAUAGAGCUGUCCUCAGAAGAUGCUUGGUUCUUGAGCUACCUUAGAUCAAGAAAUGGAAGCAAAAUCUUUUGCUUAUUUGGUCCAAGCGCAGAAGCAGGAAUAUUUAAAAGAACAUGAGGAGGAAGCAGUUGUAAUGCAGAGAUGUCUGGGUGAGAUACCCGAGCAAAAGCAAUCAGUUUGGCUCUGCCACUGCACUGCUCCACAUGGCUGGAAUUAUUCUGCUGAAAAACAAGAAUAUAUCCCAAACAAAUGUCUGUGAAGCAGAAAAAGGCUACAACCAAGGCAGAGAACCAAACCCACAGGCAAUAG